rnacentral:misc_RNA from 1 species
GAUGAAGAACGCAGCGAAAUGCGAUACUUGGUGUGAAUUGCAGAAUCCCGUGAACCAUCGAGUCUUUGAACGCAAGUUGCGCCCGAAGCCAUUAGGCCGAGGGCACGCCUGCCUGGGCGUCACACGUCGUUGCCCCCCCAUCUACUCCUUCGGGAUUGCGGGGGGCGGAUGAUGGCCUCUCGUGCGCCUCGUCGCGCGGUUGGGCUAAAUGCCAAGUCCUCGGCGACGCACGCCACGACAAUCGGUGGUUGCGAAACCUCGGUUGCCUGUCGUGUGCGGUCGUCGCGCAUCGAGGGCUCGAAAAAAUUGCCGGGCUUCGGCUCGACUUUCAACGCGACCCCAGGUCAGGCGGGGUUACCCGCUGAAUUUAAGCAUAUCAAUAAGCGGAGGA